rnacentral:rRNA from 1 species
AAUCAACGCUGGCGGCGUGCCUCAGACAUGCAAGUCGAACGCGAAAGUCCCCUUCGGGGGGACAAGUAGAGUGGCGCACGGGUGAGUAACACGUAGGUAAUCUACCUUCGGAUGGGGAAUAACAAACCGGAAACGGUUGCUAAUACCGCAUAAUGCAGCGGCACCUAAUGGUGACAGUUGUUAAAGCGGGGGGAUCGUAAGACCUCGCGUCUGAAGAGGAGCCUGCGGCGGAUUAGCAGUUGGUAAGGUAAUGGCUUACCAAGGCUACGAUCCGUAACCGGCCUGAGAGGGGCGGUCGGUCACACUGACACUGACAUACGGGUCAGACUCCUACGGGAGGCAGCAGUCGGGUAAUUUUGGGCAAUGGGCGAAAGCCUGACCCAGCAACGCCGCGUGAAGGAU